rfam:Schistosoma haematobium scaffold607_8, whole genome shotgun sequence.
ACCCAGCCGAUGAGUCCCAAAUAGGACGAAACACGCUUCCUGGAU